AACGAACGCUGGCGGCAUGCCUAAUACAUGCAAGUCGAACGAUCACUUCGGUGGUAGUGGCGCACGGGUGCGUAACGCGUGGGAAUCUACCCUUGGGUUCGGAAUAACAGUUAGAAAUGACUGCUAAUACCGGAUGAUGACGAAAGUCCAAAGAUUUAUCGCCCAAGGAUGAGCCCGCGUAGGAUUAGCUAGUUGGUGAGGUAAAAGCUCACCAAGGCGACGAUCCUUAGCUGGUCUGAGAGGAUGAUCAGCCACACUAGGACUGAGACACGGCCCAGACUCCUACGGGAGGCAGCAGUAGGGAAUAUUGGACAAUGGGGGCAACCCUGAUCCAGCAAUGCCGCGUGAGUGAUGAAGGCCUUAGGGUUGUAAAGCUCUUUUACCCGAGAUGAUAAUGACAGUAUCGGGAGAAUAAGCUCCGGCUAACUCCGUGCCAGCAGCCGCAGUAA
rnacentral:rRNA from 1 species